rnacentral:lncRNA from 1 species
UUUUUAUUGUAUUUAUUGCCUGGUUUGAAUCUUAAAGCAAAGAGUAAUAUUUUAUAAAGAAGAAGACCAAAGUCAACUGUUAGGCAGGUCAUUCCUUUAAUUUGUUUAAUUCGCCCGUCUUGUCACCGUACUAACUUAUUUAUAAAUGAGAUAAUAGACGAUUUACAGGCAUGAAUAUUUUGAACAACACGAUAAAAGUGCAGAUAACAGUCUAAGGCCACCAAUGAUUCUUCAACGCAGAAGAAAUUCCAGCACCAGGAGGUGGGCCUCAGCUAGCCCCUAAAUUAAAAUGUGUACCAACUAUGUCUAAAUGGACGUCAUAC